rnacentral:rRNA from 1 species
ACCCGCUGAACUUAAGCAUAUCAAUAAGCGGAGGAAAAGAAACCAACAGGGAUUGCCUCAGUAACGGCGAGUGAAGCGGCAAGAGCUCAAAUUUGAAAUCUGGCCCCUUCGGGGUCCGAGUUGUAAUUUGGAGAGGAUGCUUCGGGUACGGCCCCCGUCUAAGUGCCCUGGAACGGGCCGUCAUAGAGGGUGAGAAUCCCGUCUGGGACGGGUGGCCGGGCCCGUGUGAAGCUCCUUCGACGAGUCGAGUUGUUUGGGAAUGCAGCUCUAAAUGGGUGGUAAAUUUCAUCUAAAGCUAAAUAUUGGCCGGAGACCGAUAGCGAACAAGUAGAGUGAUCGAAAGAUGAAAAGCACUUUGAAAAGAGAGUUAAACAGCACGUGAAAUUGUUGAAAGGGAAGCGCUUGCGACCAGACUCGCCCGGGGAGGCUCAGCCGGCACUCGUGCCGGUGCAUUCCCCCCCGGGCGGGCCAGCGUCGGUUUGGGCGGUCGGUCAAAGGCCCCCGGAAUGUGUCGCCCUCCGGGGCGUCUUAUAGCCGGGGGUGCAAUGCGGCCAGCCUGGACCGAGGAACGCGCUUCGGCUCGGACGCUGGCGUAAUGGUCGUAAACGACCCGUCUUGAAACACGGACCAAGGAGUCUAACAUCUACGCGAAGUGUUCGGGUGUUAAACCCGUGCGCGCAGUGAAAGCGAACGGAGGUGGGAACCCUUCCGGGUGCACCAUCGACCGAUCCUGAUGUCUUCGGAUGGAUUUGAGUAAGAGCGUAGCUGUUGGGACCCGAAAGAUGGUGAACUAUGCCUGAAUAGGGCGAAGCCAGAGGAAACUCUGGUGGAGGCUCGCAGCGGUUCUGACGUGCAAAUCGAUCGUCAAAUUUGGGUAUAGGGGCGAAAGACUAGUCGAACCAUCUGGUAGCUGGUUCCUGCCGAAGUUUCCCUCAGGA